rnacentral:rRNA from 1 species
UGGGGAAUAUUGCACAAUGGGGGAAACCCUGAUGCAGCAACGCCGCGUGAGUGAUGAAGGCCUUCGGGUUGUAAAGCUCUGUCUUCAGGGACGAUAAUGACGGUACCUGAGGAGGAAGCCACGGCUAACUACGUGCCAGCAGCCGCGGUAAUACGUAGGUGGCAAGCGUUGUCCGGAUUUACUGGGCGUAAAGGGAGUGUAGGUGGAUGCUUAAGUCAGAUGUGAAAUACCCGGGCUCAACUUGGGUGCUGCAUUUGAAACUGGGCGUCUAGAGUGCAGGAGAGGAAAGCGGAAUUCCUAGUGUAGCGGUGAAAUGCGUAGAGAUUAGGAAGAACACCAGUGGCGAAGGCGGCUUUCUGGACUGUAACUGACACUGAGGCUCGAAAGCGUGGGGAGCAAACAG